CCUACGGGAGGCAGCAGUCGAGAAUCAUUCACAAUGGGGGAAACCCUGAUGCUGCGACGCCGCGUGGGGGAAUGAAGGUCUUCGGAUUGUAAACCCCUGUCAUGUGGGAGCAAAUUAAAAAGAUAGUACCACAUGAGGAAGAGACUGCUAACUCUGUGCCAGCAGCUGCGGUAAUACAGAGGUCUCAAGCGUUGUUCGGAAUCACUGGGCGUAAAGCGUGCGUAGGCUGUUUCGUAAGUCGUGUGUGAAAGGGGGGGGCUCAACCCGCGGAGGGCACAUGAUACUGCGGGACUAGUGUGAUGGAGGGGGAACCGGAAUGCACGGUGUAGCAGUGAAAUGCGUAGAGAUCG
rnacentral:rRNA from 1 species